rnacentral:rRNA from 1 species
GACGAACGCUGGCGGCGUGCCUAACACAUGCAAGUCGAACGAGAUCCAUGGGAGCUUGCUCCCGGAAGAUCUAGUGGCGAACGGGUGAGUAACACGUGAGAAACCUGCCCUGGAGUGGGGAAUAACUCGGGGGAAACUCGAGCUAAUACCGCAUACCCUCGGAUGGUCGCAUGGCCGACUGAGGAAAGAUUUAUCGCUCUAGGAGGGUCUCGCGGCCUAUCAGCUAGUUGGUGGGGUAACGGCCUACCAAGGCAACGACGGGUAGCUGGUUUGAGAGAACGAUCAGCCACACUGGGACUGAGACACGGCCCAGACUCCUACGGGAGGCAGCAGUGGGGAAUCUUGCGCAAUGGGCGAAAGCCUGACGCAGCAACGCCGCGUGCGGGAUGACGGCCUUCGUGGUUGUAAACCGCUUUCAGCAGGGACGAAAA